CCUACGGGUGGCAGCAGUGGGGGAUAUUGCACAAUGGGGGAAACCCUGAUGCAGCGACGCCGCGUGAGUGAAGAAGGCUUUCGGGAUGUAAAGCUCUUUCAGUAGGGAAGAAAAUGACAGUGCUUGUACCCUUAGCCCCUGCUAACGCCGAGCCAGCAGCCGCGGUCAUACGGAGGGGGCAAGCGUUAUCCGGAUUUACUGGGUGUAACGGGAGCGUAGACGGUUGUGUAAGUCUGGAGUGAAAGCCCUGGGCCCAACCCGGGGACUGCUUAGGAAACUGGGGAGCUGGAGUACAGGAGGGGGAGGCAGAAUUCCUGGUGUAGCGGUGAAAUGCGUAGAUAUCAGGAGGAACACCGGCGGCGAAGGCGGCCCGCUGGACUGAGACUGACGCUGAGGCUCGAAAGCGUGGGGAGCAAACAGGAUUAGAUACCCGUGUAGUC
rnacentral:rRNA from 1 species